rnacentral:lncRNA from 1 species
AUGGAGGUGCGACGGCGGAGAUGGCGUUGGCGAAGGGAUGAGGUGGCGUUGGUGUGGGAUCCUAGUGCAUCGGCGAAGGGCGGAUGGGGGGUCGGCGAAGGGCGGAGGUGUCGUUGGUGUGGGCUCUUGGUGCGUCGGAGAAGGGCGGAGAUGGGGAUGGCGAAGGUCGUCGCAGGUGUCGGCAAUCGUUGGCAGAGGGCUGCGAGAAAGUGGCGAGAGAGAGAGAGGGGUAAAGAAGAUAGGAGAGAA